rnacentral:rRNA from 1 species
GACGAACCGUGCGAACGUUAUUCGGAAUCACUGGGCUUAAAGCGCGUGUAGGCGGGAGGGCACGUCCGUCGCUGAAAUCCCCCGGCUCAACCGGGGAACGGGCGCGGAUACGACCUUCCUUGAGGGGCGUAGGGGGUCCUGGAACUUCCGGUGGAGCGGUGAAAUGCGUUGAGAUCGGAAGGAACGCCCGUGGCGAAAGCGAGGUCCUGGACGCCUACUGACGCUGAGACGCGAAAGCCAGGGGAGCGAACGGG